CGAAAAUAAAUUGCUUUGUGGAGGUUAUAUAACUUUAACAUACAGUUCUACGUUAUUCUACUUUUUAAAAAGAAACGUCUGAUAAGCUAUCUUUUAAUUCCAUGAGAAAUGACCAUAUGUUCGUAUUAUUAACUUAGUAAUAAGUCUGUAAAAAUGAAGAAUCUAGUUUUAGUUGGAAUCUUGUCAUUCUAUUUCCUGUAUGGCGUCGAAUCAUUAACCCAUUUGCAUCAGUCUAUAGAUUGUGUUGAUGGUAAGACGGCUGUAACAGAAGUUGUGUUUUGUAAAAAGGAUCCUUGUUAUCCCCUGCUAAAAUGUGUCAGUAAAUCUGAACACCUGUGUUCCCAAUAUAAACCAUGUUUGAACCAUGGUGUAUGUCAACCACAAGAUGAUGGCAAUUUCCAAUGUGUUUGUAGAAUUGGAACUAUUGGUCGCUACUGUGAAAACUUUUUACUAUCUUGAGUGUUAUGUAUGUAUGUCCAGAUACAAAAUUUUCAUUUCUAGCUCAUCUAGAAAUAAAUAGACCAUAGUGCAAAAAUA